rnacentral:tRNA from 1 species
GGGGCUGUAGCUCAGUUGGGAGAGCACCGCCCUUGCAAGGCGGGGGUCGUCGGUUCGAGCCCGUCCAGCUCCACCA